rnacentral:rRNA from 1 species
UACAGAGGUCUCAAGCGUUGUUCGGAUUCAUUGGGCGUAAAGGGUUCGUAGGCGGUGUGGCAAGUCGGGAGUGAAAUUUCUGGGCUCAACUCAGAGACUGCUUCCGAAACUGCUGUGCUUGAGUGUGGGAGAGGCGCGUGGAAUUGCAGGUGUAGCGGUGAAAUGCGUAGAUAUCUGCAGGAACACCCGUGGCGAAAGCGGCGCGCUGGACCACUACUGACGCUGAGGAACGAAAGCUAGGGGAGCAAACAGG